rnacentral:misc_RNA from 1 species
GUUGGAGAUCGGCGUGCCCCCCGGGGCGCGCCGCCUCCCAAAUAUAUGGGCGGUCUCGCUGUAUCUUCCUCUGCGUAGUAGCACACCUCGCACUGGAAAACAACAUGGCCACGCCGUUAAACCCCCCACUUCUGAAAGGUUGACCCCCGAUCACGUAGGAAUACCCGCUGAACUUGUAAAAGUAGUAACAAGGUCUCCGUUGGUGAGCUAAUGGAGGGAUCGUUAAGGUGUUUCCAACUCCCAAACCCUUGUGAACAUACCAUUUGUUGCCUGGCCGGUGUCGGCCUCGGCAGCCCGCCAGAGUGGCCAAACCCUUGAUUUGGUACAGUCUCUUUGGAGUAAAGGAUUGAAUGAAUCAAAACUUUCAACAACAGAUUUCUUGGUUGGGUCUUUGAGGAAGAACGCAGCGAAAUGAGAUAAGUAAAGUGAAUUGCAGAAUUCAGUGAAUCAUUGAAUCGAAUAACGCACAUUGCGCCCGCCCGUAUUCUGGCGGGCAUUCCUGUUGGAGAGUCAUUUCAACCCUCAAGCCCCCGCGCUAGGUGUUGGAGAUCGGCGGGCCCCCCGGGGCGCGCCGCCUCCCAAAAAAAGAGGCGGUCUCCCGGUAGCUUCCUAUGCGUAGUAGCACACCUCGCACUGGAAAACAGUGUGGCCACGCCGUU